rnacentral:rRNA from 1 species
UAGUCCACGCUGUAAACGAUGAGUACUGGUUGUAUGCGAUACAUUGUAUGUGACUGAGCGAAAGCAUUAAGUACUCCACCUGGGAAGUACGUCGGCAACGAUGAAACUCAAAGGAAUUGACGGGGGCCCGCACAAGCGGUGGAACAUGUGGUUUAAUUCGAUGAUACGCGAGGAACCUUACCUGGGCUUAAAUGCAGACAGACCGUCCUGGAAACGGGAUUUCCCUUCGGGGCUGUUUACAAGGUGCUGCAUGGCUGUCGUCAGCUCGUGCCGUGAGGUGUCGGGUUAAGUCCCAUAACGAGCGCAACCCCUAUUCUUAGUUACCAGCGAUUUGGUCGGGGACUCUAGGAAGACUGCCACCGUAAGGUGUGAGGAAGGUGGGGAUGACGUCAAGUCAGCACGGCCCUUACGUCCAGGGCUACACACGUGUUACAAUGGCCGGUACAGAGGGCAGCUACAUAGUGAUAUGAUGCCAAUCUCGAAAGCCGGUCCAAGUUCGGAUCGGAGU